CAUCCAAAAAUACUUUUUCUACCAUGCAUAUUAGAUAUGUAUAAAUAACUUAUAAACUUGUACAUAUCUUAAGCCCAGAUUUUCUCAGGGGGGGCAACAAUUUUGCCAGGGAACGCCACUGGCUAUCGUAUGUUAUAGGCUCCAAAGGCGCCAGAAUCCCUUGUAAUGUGGUCCACUGUUCACCCAGUGUUCUUUUAAGCAAAUGUGCCUGCUCAAAAAUGCAAAAUCUUGCAAGCCUGUGGACGCAAUACUGAAGUGAAGAA